GGAGGGGUGGCCGAGCGGCUGAAGGCACCGGUUUGCUAAACCGGCAUACGGGAAACUGUAUCGUGGGUUCGAAUCCCACCCCCUCCG
rnacentral:tRNA from 1 species